UAUGAUGUGGUGGUGAAUGGUU
rnacentral:siRNA from 1 species